AGCCUAUGAAAAAGGCAUAGUCUUAACAAAUCUUUAUAACGCUCCCACACGUCAAACAAUGAUUCCCCAUCUUCUUACCUAAAAUUGUUAAUCUCAUUACUAACUUU